rnacentral:misc_RNA from 1 species
GGUAUUGUGAAGAUGGGGAUGAGAGGCUUUUAGUCUAUGAUUACAUGAAGAAUGGAGCUUUAUAUGACCAUUUACAUGACAAGAACAAUAUUCAAAAGAAGAGUAGUGUGAUAAAUUCCUGGAAAAUGAGGAUCAAGAUUGCAUUAGAUGCUGCUAGAGGAAUUGAAUAUCUUCACAAUUAUGCAGUACCACCGAUAAUUCAUAGAGAUAUCAAGUCCUCUAACAUAUUGCUCGACUUGAAUUGGACAGCAAGAGUCUCAGAUUUUGGAUUGUCAUUGAUGGGUCCUGAAUCUGAAAGAGAUCACAGGCCAAUGAAGGCAGCAGGAACAGUU